UACGAAGGGGGCUAGCGUUGCUCGGAAUCACUGGGCGUAAAGCGCACGUAGGCGGACUCUUAAGUCAGGGGUGAAAUCCUGGAGCUCAACUCCAGAACUGCCUUUGAUACUGGGAGUCUUGAGUUCGGGAGAGGUGAGUGGAACUCCGAGUGUAGAGGUGAAAUUCGUAGAUAUUCGGAAGAACACCAGUGGCGAAGGCGGCUCACUGGCCCGGUACUGACGCUGAGGUGCGAAAGCGUGGGGAGCAAACAGG
rnacentral:rRNA from 1 species